rnacentral:rRNA from 1 species
UACGUAGGGGGCAAGCGUUGUCCGGAAUCAUUGGGCGUAAAGCGCGCGUAGGCGGCCCGGUAAGUCCGCUGUGAAAGUCCAGGGCUCAACCCUGGAAAGCCGGUGGAUACUGUCGGGCUAGAGUCCGGAAGAGGCGAGUGGAAUUCCUGGUGUAGCGGUGGAAUGCGCAGAUAUCAGGAGGAACACCGAUGGCGAAGGCAGCUCGCUGGGACGGUACUGACGCUGAGACGCGAAAGCGUGGGGAGCGAACAGG